rnacentral:rRNA from 1 species
GAUGAACGCUGGCGGCGUGCCUAAUACAUGCAAGUCGAGCGAACAGACGAGGAGCUUGCUCCUCUGACGUUAGCGGCGGACGGGUGAGUAACACGUGGAUAACCUACCUAUAAGACUGGGAUAACUUCGGGAAACCGGAGCUAAUACCGGAUAAUAUAUUGAACCGCAUGGUUCAAUAGUGAAAGACGGUUUUGCUGUCACUUAUAGAUGGAUCCGCGCCGCAUUAGCUAGUUGGUAAGGUAACGGCUUACCAAGGCAACGAUGCGUAGCCGACCUGAGAGGGUGGUCGGCCACACUGGAACUGAGACACGGUCCAGACUCCUACGGGAGGCAGCAGUAGGGAAUCUUCCGCAAUGGGCGAAAGCCUGACGGAGCAACGCCGCGUGAGUGAUGAAGGUCUUCGGAUCGUAAAACUCUGUUAUUAGGGAAGAACAAAUGUGUAAGUAACUAUGCACGUCUUGACGGUUCCUAAUCAGAAAGCCACGGCUAACUACGUG